rnacentral:misc_RNA from 1 species
GAUGAAGAACGUAGCGAAAUGCGAUAAGUAAUGUGAAUUGCAGAAUUCCGUGAAUCAUCGAAUCUUUGAACGCACAUUGCGCCCCCUGGUAUUCCGGGGGGCAUGCCUGUCCGAGCGUCAUUACAACCCUCAAGCUCAGCUUGGUGUUGGGCCCCGCCGCCCCGGCGGGCCCUAAAGUCAGUGGCGGUGCCGUCCGGCUCCGAGCGUAGUAAUUCUUCUCGCUCUGGAGGUCCGGUCGUGUGCUUGCCAGCAACCCCCAAUUUUUUUCAGGUUGACCUCGCAUCAGGUAGGGAUACCCGCUGAACUUAAGCAUAUCAAUAAGCGGAGGA